rnacentral:rRNA from 1 species
UGGGGAAUAUUGCGCAAUGGGGGGAACCCUGACGCAGCCAUGCCGCGUGAAUGAAGAAGGCCUUAGGGUUGUAAAGUUCUUUCGGUAUUGAGGAAGGUUGAUGUGUUAAUAGCACAUCAAAUUGACGUUAAAUACAGAAGAAGCACCGGCUAACUCCGUGCCAGCAGCCGCGGUAAUACGGAGGGUGCGAGCGUUAAUCGGAAUAACUGGGCGUAAAGGGCACGCAGGCGGUUAUUUAAGUGAGGUGUGAAAGCCCUGGGCUUAACCUAGGAAUUGCAUUUCAGACUGGGUAACUAGAGUACUUUAGGGAGGGGUAGAAUUCCACGUGUAGCGGUGAAAUGCGUAGAGAUGUGGAGGAAUACCGAAGGCGAAGGCAGCCCCUUGGGAAUGUACUGACGCUCAUGUGCGAAAGCGUGGGGAGCAAACAGGAUUAGAUACCCUGGUAGUCCACGCUGUAAACGCUGUCGAUUUGGGGGUUGGGGUUUAACUCUGGCGCCCGUAGCUAACGUGAUAAAUCGACCGCCUGGGGAGUACGACCGCAAGGUUA